CGUCUAGGCGGCAGUUCAAGUCUUGCGUGAAAGCUCCCGGCUCAACUGGGAGAGUGCGUGAGAAACUGAGCAGCUAGAGUCUUGGAGGGGUGCGUGGAAUUCCCGGUGGAGUGGUGGAAUGCGUUGAGAUCGGGAGGAACACCAGAAGCGAAGGCGGCGCACUGGCCAAGAACUGACGCUGAAGCGCGACAGCGUGGGGAGCAAACG
rnacentral:rRNA from 1 species